rnacentral:rRNA from 1 species
AACGCUAGCUACAGGCUUAACACAUGCAAGUUGAGGGGCAGCAUGGUCUUAGCUUGCUAAGGCCGAUGGCGACCGGCGCACGGGUGAGUAACACGUAUCCAACCUGCCGUCUACUCUUGGACAGCCUUCUGAAAGGAAGAUUAAUACAAGAUGGCAUCAUGAGUCCGCAUGUUCACGUGAUUAAAGGUAUUCCGGUAGACGAUGGGGAUGCGUUCCAUUAGAUAGUAGGCGGGGUAACGGCCCACCUAGUCUUCGAUGGAUAGGGGUUCUGAAAGGAAGGUCCCCCACAUUGGAACUGAGACACGGUCCAAACUCCUACGGGAGGCAGCAGUGAGGAAUAUUGGUCAAUGGGCGAGAGCCUGAACCAGCCAAGUAGCGUGAAGGAUGACUGCCCUAUGGGUUGUAAACUUCUUUUAUAAAGGAAUAAAGUCGGGUAUGUAUACCCGUUUGCAUGUACUUUAUGAAUAAGGAUCGGCUAACUCCGUGCCAGCAGCCGCGGUAAUACGGAGGAUCCGAGCGUUAUCCGGAUUUAUUGGGUUUAAAGGGAGCGUAGAUGGAUGUUUAAGUCAGUUGUGAAAGUUUGCGGCUCAACCGUAAAGUUGCAGUUGAUACUGGAUAUCUUGAGUGCAGUUGAGGCAGGCGGAAUUCGUGGUGUAGCGGUGAAAUGCUUAGAUAUCACGAAGAACUCCGAUUG